UGGUGGGUAUGGUGAGGAGGACUGGUGGGUAUGGUGAGGACUGGUGGGUAUGGUGAGGAGGACUGGUGGGUAUGGUGAGGGGGACUGGUGGGUAUGGUGAGGGGGACUGGUGGGUAUGAGGAGGGGGACUGGUGGGUAUGGUGAGGAGGACUGGUGGGUAUGGUGAGGAGGACUGGUGGGUAUGGUGAGGAGGACUGGUGGGUAUGGUGAGGAGGACUGGUGGGUAUGGUGAGGAGGACUGGUGGGUAUGGUAAGGAGGACUGGUAGGUAUGAUGUCAGAUAGUAGUUAAGUGGAGAAGCAAGUUGUAGAUGACGACACAGUGGGAUGGCACCUUCAGAUUUUCUGAAGCAAAACCUUGCUACACGCUCUUUGCGGAUACAAACACACAGCAUCAAGUAUAAAUCGUUAAGUAGGAAGAAGUGCACACUAAGCUGGCUCUGGAG
rnacentral:lncRNA from 1 species